UCUGCACCGACUAAUUGUACUCAAAGAAACAAAAGUUGUACAUUUGAUGAGUAUUGAACAACUGUAAACGUCAUUAUAUCCAAACACGUUUAGUAUAUUUGUGUAAAUCGGUGUAAUCUUCAUCUACAUUAGAACAUUAACCUUCUUUCCCGACCAUUACCUAAAUCUUUUCACCUUCUCCUCUAUUUAUUCUCUCCGCUCUUUCUCACCUAUUGGAGCAGAUGAAUCCCAUGCUCUGCUUUUCAAUUUGUCUCGGUAUGUACUGUAUUUUUUAGUUCGGGUAAGUGUUCCUCCAUAUUUCUUUGUCUAAUGCACCAAUUUGCUGAUAAUGGGACUUUGAUGGCAUCUGUGAUUGUUAGUUCUUGGAGUUUUUGUACAAAUAUUUGUUAGCCGCAUCUUCUACUUCAAUCAGACAUCGUAAUUUAAUCAGAUUUCACAGUCGAUGGUUGGAGAUUUUGGUUAGCGUUUACAGUUUUAAAAAAGGUAAAAUACGCAUGCAAUCCAUUUACAAAUUUUGAUUCUCUGAAAUUUCUGAAAAUAUUUAUUUUGGACUAUAGUUUUCAUAUUGUAUAUAGUAUAUGCAUGCUCUGUUGGUAUAUGAUUUUCAUACCGAUGCACAUGUGGUGUUUGAUAAUAUGUCUAAAAUAAUUGAUUUCCUGGUAGUUCUUUCAAUGUCCUAGAAAAAAUUUAACUCCAAAAUUGAUGAAAACGGCCAUAUGAAAAUGGAAUAUGCACAACAACAACAACAAACCCAGUGUAUUCCCACAGCGUGGAGUCUGGGGAGGGUAAGAUGUAUGCAGUCCAUACCGCUACCUCCGAAGAAGUAGAGAGUCUGUUUCCCGAUAGACCCCAGCUCAAGAUAAGGAUAAUAAACAAGGGGGGAAAAUGGAAUAUGCAAAAAAUAUAAAAGAAAUGUGGAUCUUUUUUCAAUACAUUGUUUGAUGUGCGUCUUAUUCUGUGUCAAGUAGUUCUAUGUUUCCUAUCAAAUGUCCAUUUUAACUUUCUUCUAACCUUACUUUGUAUGUUACAAGUUGAAAUCUCUUAUUUUGAACUGUCUAAUGCUACUUGAUGCUACGAGUGUAUCUACAAGUAGUUUUCUGAGGUCUUUUCAUGAAGACAACAAGUCUCCAGCAAUUGCCAGUGUCUUUUUUUUUUUUCGUAUAUCAUUGAUCGUUAUUGUUCACUACCUAGCAUAGAAUUGACAUCAAGAUUUUUGAAAUUGGCUGCUGCACCAAUAAUACAGAACUUUUUAGGUUGUUUACUUUUCAGAUUCCAAGAAGCCCAAGGUUGGGCAAGUUUAUUUUUUAUGGUAUUUUGAUGACUAACUUUUUUGACGGUGGAGUUGAGAGGCCUAGCAAUGAUUUGUCGAUUUUAUUCGGGAUGCUCGGAGGUGCACCUUAAAUUUGCUUCAAAAUCAGAACGCCACGAAAAAGGGACUUUGAAUGAGAUCUUGGCAUGCCACACCAUCUUCCUGAGCCGAGACGUAUUGUGAUGCUUCUAAGAUUGCAAGAAAAUCUUCUAUAUAUUGAAUUAAUCCAAAUACAGAUCUGUUGAACUAGGCAAAGUGGUUGACAAAGAGUAUCAAACUGAUGUUGGAUGGAUUUGAACACUUCUCUGAGGUCUAAAAGCAAACAUGGACAAAAGCUCCUUCAAUAUAUCAGGUGUAACUUUGAAUUUUGGGAGCAACAACUAACUAAGAUGCACUUUGCACCUGGGGAAAUGCCUUUCAAAUAUUUAUGAGUGCCCGUCUUCUAGAAAGCUCAAUAUCAGUUAAUGUACCUCUACUCUGGUGAAUAGAAUUAUCGCUAGAGUAAAAUGCUAGACAUCAAAAUUCCUAUCUUAUGGUGGUAGGCUCAAUCAAAAGUGCAUUGUUUGCAAUUCAGAUGUAUUCUGCUCAAGUAUUCUUAUUGCCUAAGAAAAUAUUAUCCAUGAUUACCAAUGUUUGUAAACUUCCUGCGGACUGAGAGUAAUGGGUACUUAAGGAGAACACUGCUUGCCUGGAAACUCUAAGGCUAUGUUGCUCGGACUCUUCAAAAAUAUCAUUGGGUACAUGUCUCAGAUCCUUCAAAAGUAGUGCAUUUUUUAAGGAUCUAACACGGGUGUGGCCACAUUUUUGGAGAGUCCAAGCAACUUAGCUCUAAGGAAACCUAAGUCUACUGGUGGACUAAAUCUACUGAAUAUUAUCCUGUGGAACAAAGCUGCAAUAUGUAAGCUUCUUGGGUUGUAGCUAAGAAAAAAGAAGCACUACCGAUACUCUGUCUCAAGAUUCUAUAAGUCAUGUCAAAAUUCUAUUUUUUUCUCUCCAUAAAUUUCAAGCUUAACUUAUUGCGAAGAUACUUUGUAUAAAUGUUUGGAAUGGUUCUUGUUAUGUGGAUUCAAGUGGUCCAGUUGAAGCGAAACCUUUUCUUGGGUUGCCCUAAAUAUGGUGCAAGAGCUUUCAAUACUACGAAGCAAUAUGCAUCCACUAUUUUGCGAUGUCAUCAGCACCAUGUCUGCUCAUAUUUUGGACUUCAGAAAUAGUUUACAGGAGAAUCUGAAUGUAUUAAAAAGCGAUAAAAGAGCCUUUACAUUCGAUUUUGCGCUUUGUAAUUAAUUAACAGUUUGAAUCUGUCUUUGAUUUUCAUUUCAUACUUUCUUUCUGGUGCCACUACUUCUGCAAUCUGCAGGCAAAAGCUAGUGAUGGAGAUGGUCCAGAGCUUUUGAAGAGUUCACAUAAUGGUGGUACUGGUGGUCAUGCGGAGUCCUUAGCCGCAAUUCUUGCCGAACAUAAGCACCACCUUGCAAGUAUACAGGUCCGAUGUUCAGUCUAAUUUGGUAAAAGGAACAAUAUGCCUACGAAGAAGAUGAAUGAAGCAGCAGGAGGUGGAGGAAGAGGACUCAAGGCUAAGGCCAAAUUGGAGCAUGUGUUAUAUAGCGGCGAAAAGAAGCACGUCUUAGGUGGCAUCGCUGUCAUUGGCGUUCUCUUCGGUGUUCCCUGGUACUUCAUGACCUGAGACUGUUUUCUCAAAUCAAAUGAUCAAGAAGUUGCCAUAUUUUGCUCAAAAGUUGAUGGAGAAUUGUGGUUCCUCAAUCCAAAAGUUUCACUUCAAAUAAGGAGAUUUCCAAGAGCAAGUACUACAGCUCAGAUGCCAUGGGAACUCCAUAAGUUGUUUUUUUUCCCAGAGAGUUCAAAUAGUAGUAUUCUUCUUUGCCUUUCCCUUUAGCUGAUAAAUUUUAGUAAUUGAAAUUAAUUAGAAAAUUAGCUUAACAAUUUUUAUCAAUAUUAACUGCAAAUAUGCAUAUUUAUGUUAAUGUAUCUUCAUUAUGUUAUCUUUUAUAUUUUUACCUUGUUACUUUUUGUAACAUACAUUUGUAAAGAGGUAUGUAAGCAUUAUAUUUGUUUCU